rnacentral:rRNA from 1 species
ACCGGCGGAGCCUAACACAUGCAAGUCGGACGGUAGCACAGAGAGCUUGCUCUUGGGUGACGAGUGGCGGACGGGUGAGUAAUGUCUGGGGAUCUGCCCGAUAGAGGGGGAUAACCACUGGAAACGGUGGCUAAUACCGCAUAACGUCGCAAGACCAAAGAGGGGGACCUUCGGGCCUCUCACUAUCGGAUGAACCCAGAUGGGAUUAGCUAGUAGGCGGGGUAAUGGCCCACCUAGGCGACGAUCCCUAGCUGGUCUGAGAGGAUGACCAGCCACACUGGAACUGAGACACGGUCCAGACUCCUACGGGAGGCAGCAGUGGGGAAUAUUGCACAAUGGGCGCAAGCCUGAUGCAGCCAUGCCGCGUGUAUGAAGAAGGCCUUCGGGUUGUAAAGUACUUUCAGCGGGGAGGAAGGCGAUGGGGUUAAUAACCCUGUCGAUUGACGUUACCCGCGGAAGAAGCACCGGCUAACUCCGUGCCAGCAGCCGCGGUAAUACGGAGGGUGCAAGCGUUAAUCGGAAUUACUGGGCGUAAAGCGCACGCAGGCGGUCUGUUAAGUCAGAUGUGAAAUCCCCGGGCUUAACCUGGGAACUGCAUUUGAAACUGGCAGGCUUGA